rfam:Myotis brandtii contig159927, whole genome shotgun sequence.
GGCUGGGUAGCUCAAUUGGCUAGAGUGUUGUCCUGAUAUGCCAAGGUUGUGGGUUCGAUUCCCAUUCAAGGCA